GGCAACAGUCUCCCAGUGUCAGUAUAAAUACAGCAGAAUUCACACAGCCCUCCAUCACACUCAAGAACUGAGACCAGUCUCCAACCACAUCCACAAGUCCAGUUUGUGAGAGCUCCAGCAGACCCAACAUGAAGACUGUGAGAGUGGCUGUUGCUGUGGCUCUGCUGUUUGCAUUUGUCUGGAUCCAGGAGAGUUCUGCACAACCGCACUCUCAGAUGGUAGAGAUGGAGCAGCCUGAGGACGUGGACAUUCCAGUUGAGCUGAAAGCAGAAGAAGUGUCAGUGGACGCCAUGA